AUCCUUAGUUGAAACAAAAUUAUGCAGUUUAAUUCCUUCCUUCAUGAGCUAAUGCUCUUCACUCACUAGAAAUUAUCUAUAUGAACUUUACAUGCAGGGUGAUACAACAGUAACAGAGACCAAACUCGAACUCCAUAGCAGAGUAAAUGAUCUUGAUCUGCAGCUAAGGAGAAAGGGGAAUGCCAUAGGUACUUAUACAAUUGGGUCUGGAGGCUCGUCGGCAACCGGACAGGAAAACAGCAAGGCAGAAGGGCAUUGCUCGGUCGCUGGUCCGAUGAGUGGCACUGUCAGGGAGCGUGACAGGGGCGACAAAUCUAGACCUCCACG
rnacentral:lncRNA from 7 species